UUGAAAACUGUACAUUUGAUAAUAAUGUACUACUUGUUACAUAUGAUAUAACAUCACUAUAUACCAAUCUCAGAUUUGAAGAAAUCACAAAAGCAUUACAAAAAGCGCUUGAUGAACAUGACAAAUUUGAAUAUUCUAUAACAAAACCUACCAACAAAUUUUUGAUUGAAAUAAAAAAACUCAUCCUUUCCAAUAAUGAAUUUACCUUUCAUGGAAAUUCAUAUCGCCAAAUCAUUGGAGCAUCAAUGGGAGCAACAGCUUCCCCUGAAAUAUGUGACAUUGCUAUUUACAAUCACAUAAACUCAAUCCUUAAAAACUCUCCAAUCUCUGAAAAAAUAAUUUUUCAUAAAAGAAUGAGAGAUGAUGGACUUCUAAUGGUGAAAGCAAAAGAGUCUGAAAUUGACUUUAUGUUUGAAAAUGCAAAUAAACAACAUGACCUGCUAAAGUUCACUUACGAAUGCAAUAAACAGUCCAUAAAAUUUCUAGACCUAGAAAUCUUCAAGGGCGAACGCUUCAAAAAUACUGGUGUUUUAGACCUGAAAUGUUUUACAAAGAAAACUGAAAAAUUCCAAUAUCUUCAUAAAAACUCAAACCAUCCCAUCUCAAACUUUAAAUCUUUUAUUAAAGGCGAAGGCAUUCGUAUACUUAGAAACACCAACAAUGAAAGUGAAUUUCAAACCAGAAAAAAUCUCUUUAUUGAAAAACUGUUAGUAAGAGGAUAUAAACGGAAAUUGAUAGAACAAAUUCUAUCAAAAAUCAAAUUCCAAGACAGACAAAUUAAAUUAAAGAAAAAGAACAAAGUUGAAAAUAAAUACAAUGUAUCAUUCAUUACAAAUUAUCAUCCUCAAG
rnacentral:lncRNA from 1 species